rnacentral:rRNA from 1 species
AUGGGUUCAGGAUUUGAUGAGCCUAGGGAGACGAUGGAGAUAGCAAAUAGUGGAGCAUCAACAGACACGAGGCCACGGACAAGACUUGGGGCUUCCCGAACCCAUGGAAACGGCCGGCAGCAGGAGGCUGCUAGUAGAGGCAGGGCCACGCUGAGGUCAAAGGUGGCCGGGCGAGCUCGACGGAGGUCGUCCGCGGUCGGACGAAGCAGCAGCAGCACGGCACGGCAGCGCGGGCGAAGCUGUAGGCCAGCACGGUGGCCUCCAUGGACGGGCGAGCAAAGGGGCGUCGAGGCGCUGAAGAUGAAGGAGGCGAGGCGAGAGGGACGGCGCAAGACGGCGGUGCUCGUCAUCGGGGCUUGGCGCGCUGGCAACAGAGGGCGAUGA